rnacentral:rRNA from 1 species
UUAAAAUGUUAAUAUUUGAACUAAAGUAGUAUUAGUUAUGUUCUUUAAAUUUAAAGAUUUUGGCGGUAUUUUAGUCUAUUCAGAGGAACCUGUUCUGUAAUUGAUAGUCCACGAUUCACUUUACUUAAAUUUAAAAGUUUGUAUAUCGUUGUUUAUAGAAAAUUUUUUAAGAAAUAUAAUUUUUAAUAAAUUUAAUUAAAUUAUAAAUCAAAUCAAGGUGCAGUUUAUAUUUAAGAAGAAAUGGGUUACAAUAAAAUUAUUUAAACGGAUUUAAAUUUUAAAAAAUUUAAUGAAGGAGGAUUUGAUAGUAAUUUUAUUAAAUUAAAUAAAAUGAUUAUAGCUCUAGAAUAUGU